rnacentral:rRNA from 1 species
GGUUGCGAUCAUACCAGCACUAAUGCACCGGAUCCCAUCAGAACUCCGCAGUUAAGCGUGCUUGGGCGAGAGUAGUACUAGGAUGUGCCCCCCUGGGAAGUCCUCGUGUUGCAACCC